CAAAAUGAAUAGAUGGUACUACGUGGGAAUGAGGCGUUCGCUCCUGGCCUUUUCAUUUCCAUUAUUAUUAUUAGUUUUUUU
rnacentral:miRNA from 1 species